AGUCAACAUGCCCAGAGGACGUGGAUAACCUCGGGAAACUGAGGAUAAACCGCGAUAGGUCAUAAUUACUGGAAUGUGUUAUGGCCCAAAUCUAUAUGGCCUCUGGAUUGGACUGCGGCCGAUCAGGCUGUUGGUGAGGUAAUGGCCCACCAAACCUUUUACCGGUACGGGCUCUGAGAGGAGGAGCCCGGAGAUGGGCACUGAGACGAGGGCCCAGGCCCUAUGGGGCGCAGCAGGCGCGAAACCUCUGCAAUAGGCGAAAGCCUGACAGGGUUACUCUGAGUGAUUCCCGCUAAGGGAAUCUUUUGGCAUCUCUAAAAAUGGUGCAGAAUAAGGGGUGGGCAAGUCUGGUGUCAGCCGCCGCGGUAAUACCAGCACCCCGAGUGGUCGGGACGAUUAUUGGGCCUAAAGCAUCCGUAGCCGGUCUUGCAAGUCCUCCGUUAAAUCCAGCUGCUUAACAGAUGGGCUGCGGAGGAUACUACAAGGCUAGGAGGCGGGAGAGGCAAGCGGUACUCAGUGGGUAGGGGUAAAAUCCUCUGAUCCAUUGAAGACCACCAGUGGCGAAGGCGGCUUGCCAGAACGCGCUCGACGGUGAGGGAUGAAAGCUGGGGGAGCAAACCGGAUUAGAUACCCGGGUAGUCCCAGCUGUAAACGAUGCAGACUCGGUGAUGGGCCGGCUUUAUGCCGGCUCAGUGCCGCAGGGAAGCCGUUAAGUCUGCCGCCUGGGGAGUACGGUCGCAAGACUGAAACUUAA
rnacentral:rRNA from 1 species